CAGUGACUGUCCCUCUGUACUCAGCACUGGUGAGGCCACACCUCGAUUGCUGUAUCCAGUUCUGGACCCCUCACUACAAGAACAACAUUGAGGGGCUGGAGUGAGUCCAGGGAAGGGUGAAGGAGGUACAGAGCUCACUUCAGGUACUGAAAGGAUGCCAUGAAGUCUUCUUGAAGCCUUCUAUUCUCCAGGCUGAACAAUUCCAGCCCUCUUAGGCUGUCUUCACAGAAGAGACAUUCCAGUACUCUGAUCAUCUUUACGUCUCUCCUUUGAACCAGCUCCAACAGGUCCACACCCUUGUGCUGCAGAUCCCAGACAUGGAUGUAGCAUUCCAGGAUAGCAGCAGAGAGGAACUGCUUAUUGUACACAGGUCUGUAAGGAUUUAAAAGAGUGCAGUUGCCCGUCUCAAAACACUGUCAAGGCUACAGAACUUGCCAUAAGACAAGCCACCACAGUGGGAACUUGAGGUAAGCACAGAAGGGAGAAAUUUGUGACAGGAAGGUGCUAAUUUCAGGCCUGGUUAGAUGAAAUCUGGUUACCACAUCUUAGUUAAUACAUUAUAAUGCAUAUUAUAAUGCAAGAAUGUGACCAGCUGGGGGAAAGAAAGCAACUGCUCAAUCACAUGCCACUCCAAGUUACACUCUGACAUCUACGACCACCC
rnacentral:lncRNA from 13 species